rnacentral:rRNA from 1 species
AUUGAACGCUGGCGGCAGGCCUAACACAUGCAAGUCGAACGAGUGGCGGACGGGUGAGUAAUGUCUGGGAAACUGCCUGAUGGAGGGGGAUAACUACUGGAAACGUUAGCUAAUACCGCAUACCAUCGGAUGUGCCCAGAUGGGAUUAGCUAGUAGGUGGGGUAACGGCUCACCUAGGCGACGAUCCCUAGCUGGUCUGAGAGGAUGACCAGCCACACUGGAAUGGAGACACGGUCCAGAUCCCUACGGGAGGCAGCAGGGGGGAAUAUUGAACAAUGGGCGAAAGCCUGAUGAAGCCAUGCCGCGGGUAUGAAGAAGGCCUUCGGGUGGUAAAGUACUUUCAGCGGGGAGGCGUGACCCGCAGAAGAAGCACCGGCUAACUCCGUGCCAGCCGCCGCGGUAAUAC